CUGACUGUAGCUCAAUUUGGUAGAGCGCUGGCUUUGGGUGUCAGGGGUUCGGGGUUCAAAUCCCUGUAGUCAGACCA
rnacentral:tRNA from 4 species